rnacentral:rRNA from 1 species
GUGGGGAAUAUUCCGCAAUGGACGAAAGUCUGACGGAGCAACGCCGCGUGAGUGAUGAAGGUUUUCGGACUGUAAAGCUCUGUUGUUUAGGACGAAAGUGCCUGUUGCAAAUAGUUACAGGUAUUGACGGUACUGAACGAGGAAGCCACGGCUAACUACGUGCCAGCAGCCGCGGUAAUACGUAGGUGGCAAGCGUUGUCCGGAAUUAUUGGGCGUAAAGAGCAUGUAGGCGGGAAUCUAAGUCUGUUGUGAAAAUGCGGGGCUCAACCCCGUAUUGCGAUGGAAACUGGGUUGCUUGAGUGCAGGAGAGGAAAGGGGAAUUCCCAGUGUAGCGGUGAAAUGCGUAGAUAUUGGGAGGAACACCAGUGGCGAAGGCGCCUUUCUGGACUGUGUCUGACGCUGAGAUGCGAAAGCCAGGGUAGCGAACGGGAUUAGAAACCCUGGUAGUCC